UUCUAUCCAAAUGAAAUCCAUGAGAUUGGAAACGAAAAUAUUCAAAGGGAUCACAUGGAUCAGUCAUUUCCUUACAACAAGGUUCCUUAAUUCCAUAUUCUCUCCAAAAAUAUUUAUUCUACAAUAAUAUUAUAGUGGACUAACAGUGAGAGACAAGAUUGUUAUAGCUGAUGUAGGAGCGUUCGCUUAUGUUCUGCGAUGUCUAGUUGUUAAGAUAAAUGCUUGGCCACCCAUAGGUUGAGUGCAUUGAGCGUCUUGAUGUGAAAAUUGUUACUGACAUGCCACAAGACAAUUAUAUGUAAGUUCAUCAUCACACAAUAUUAUGUGUAUAUCUACUUUGUUAUAUGGGUCGUUAAUGAAAUUCCAGUUAUUUGUAUGCAUUCUGACGUUAUAAUAGUAUAUAAGUACAACAUCGGCUCCACGAGAACAUUAGUUUUUUGUCUGCAAACAACAGAUACUUAACUAAAAUGUCCCUCCAGUGUCUUAUUUCCAUCUUUUUCGCAAUUACCAAAAUGAUAUGUUGCUACUGUGCAUUUCCAUGUAAACAAAAGCAAAAUUUGGCAUGUGGGUUCCUGUUAAUUCUUUAGGAAAAAUCAUUUUAUGUAUCCCAUGUAUUGCUAUUGAUUCUAUGGUUAAUUAUGGGAUGCAGAUAAUGAAAAAAUUAAUUCUUUUAGGAUACGUUUGAUUGCAAGCAUGGAAUUUACAUGGAAAGAAAAUAAAUUUUAGGCAAUUUAAUUGUCUAGAAUUUAUUUGCAUGGAAAUUGUCAAUUAAAUAUGUUUGAUUUAUUUAUUUUUCAACCUAGAAAAUAUUAUAAUGGUCCGUUUUUUAUUGGUGGAUGGAUGAGAAAGAUAAAGAGUGAGUGAAUUAUUUGAAAAAUAAAAUCCUACUCUCCUUAAAGGAAAUAUUUUCCUUGAUUUUGAGAAAAAUACAGUCACAUGACCAAAAAUAGGAAAAUGUUGUCCUUGGAAAAAAAUGUCAAUCAAACAAUACAAAAGUAGGAAUUUGGAUGAAAAAACAAAUUUUCCAUGAAAAAUAUCGACAAUCAAACACACCCUUAAUUUUUGUUUAAUUUGGCAUGCAGACAAUGAUUCUCUGAUUUUAAUGUAACUAUAUCAAUAAAAAGAAAUUAAAGGUGAUAAAUGGUAAUAUAUUUAAUGUGAGUCUACUAAUCUACGGCAUUACUAACAAUAUGAUAUUCAAUUUCUUACACUUUUCCCUCACUGUUGCAACUGUGACUAUGUUCUCGUUGUUUUUAAGUUCACGGAAUACAUUAUUCAUUAGAAGAUUAAAGAAAUGUCAAAAACUUUCGAUCCAAACACCCAAGGUCUUCCCUAGCAUCUCAACUCUACAAGCAUGGAUACCAGAAGCUAAUUGAAGGUUAUGCAACGGACUUCGAUCUCUUCCCAUGGAGUGUGAGGGAGACAUGAAGAUGAAGGGUGUGGCUAACGCAUAGAUAGGAAGAAUUAUUAUGUUCAAUUUCUUAUAUUCAUGUAAAAUACUACUCUCAAGUGUUUUCAAUUUCGUAAUUAAGUUUCAACAAGUGUGGCCCAUGCUUUUUGUAUGCAUUUGACCAUGAUUGAUCUAAAACAUCAUAUGAUAAUAUGAUGUU
rnacentral:lncRNA from 1 species